GUUGCUUCAUAAUGGUGAACUCUCUCACAAUAUUAAAUGAGAGAAAUUCAAGUUUCCGGAGCAUAAAUUAAAUAUAUAUGUAUAUGUUUAUAUAUAUAGUCAGUAUUAAACAGCUCUAUGUGUAUACAAUCGCAUCGACGUUACCUGUCUCCUGGCACAUUA